AGUAUAUACUUAAAUGUACGGUGCUGCAUUCCAAGCAUACGUUUUCCUUAACUAAAAAGGAGAGGUUGAGUUUACCAUAUAAGGAAUCUCCAUUAGAGUGGGAUCAAGACGUGAGGUCAUGUCACUCAGGACCUUGAACUAAAAUAUGUCCUCAUGACAGACUGACGUGUGUAAAAUUAGCUGACAGGUCAGUCCAAGUGUCAGCCUACUUUCGGUUUGAGGGAAGCUUCAUAAUGCAAUGUUCAGAAUACUGAAGAAUAUCAGAUAUUGUGGAGGAUUUGGAGGAUAUUACACGUCAUUAAUCAAUUUUGAAUGAACAAAAACACUUGGAAAUGUAUGUUCACGGGGAACCUGGAGCCUAUCCCAGGAAGCAUCGGGUACAAGGUGGGGUACACCCUGGACAGGAUGCCAGUCCAUUGCAGGGCACACUCACACACACAUUCAUACACUACGGACACUUUAGACACGCCAAUCAGCCUACCAUGCAUGUCUUUGGACUGGGGGAGGAAACCGGAGUACCCGGAGGAAACCCCCUACAUUACUUAUAUUUAUUCUUAAUCAUUGUUGCUGCAUUAUAUAUUUAUAUCACCUAAAGGACAAUUUCAUCCUGUACCUUUCUAGCAUUCUGUUCAAUCAUUACACAAAAAACCAUGUCUUUUUCUGCUUCUCUUCACCGUGUUGUUUUCUGUGUCCUCAGUAGUUAAUUUGUAGAGUUUCUCCUUGUUUGUGCCCUAAUCUCUGUGCAUUAUUGGGUGUUAACAAGCUCAUGUGAAUUGGAGCAAGAGGUCUGGGAACAACAUGCCAAACUUUCCACAUCAUGGGAUAUAAAUUGCUGUGUGGCGUGCGUUUAAGGAUAGUGAUGUCAUGUUUGCCGAAGGCAGUACCAUUUAUAGCUUGCUGAUAACUCAGUAUCUGACUGAAAUAAGUUUACACACCCUACAAGUGGACAAUGCGC
ensembl:lncRNA